rnacentral:rRNA from 1 species
UACGAAGGGGGCUAGCGUUGCUCGGAAUCACUGGGCGUAAGGGUGCGUAGGCGGGUCUUUAAGUCAGGGGUGAAAUCCUGGAGCUCAACUCCAGAACUGCCUUUGAUACUGAAGAUCUUGAGUUCGGGAGAGGUGAGUGGAACUGUGAGUGUAGAGGUGAAAUUCGUAGAUAUUCGCAAGAACACCAGUGGCGAAGGCGGCCGACUGGUCCGGUUCUGACGCUGAGGCGCGAAAGCGUGGGGAGCAAACAGG